AUCCUCUGGCUUCCUUUCCCACUAUAUCCAAACUCUGAUCUUAGCUACUCUAUAUAGGAAAAGUGACACUCAAGUUAGCCAGGCCUAACAAUGCUGUAGUCAGCCGUUUGUUGGCAAAUUUCACCAUUU
ensembl:snoRNA Gm27931 predicted gene, 27931